CCCAGACGAAGAGAGGAGCAUUGUCAUUAUUGGGAAAGAAGACUCUUCAGGCUGUGUUUCAACCUCCAACCAGCCUCCCCCUAAAAACUAGACAGCUGUACACCACCCAAGGAGCUAGGGGGCCCGGGAGACUAAGAAGACAAGGUACCUCAGUCACUGACCUCGAAGUAGCUGUCCCCAAAUUCUGACACCACGUGCUCCGACUUGGGCUUAUUCUGACAGUAUACCACAUACAUAUGCAGCCGGCGCUCCUACAGGGGUGAAGUUUAAGAAAGAGCAAGUUCCCUCAGGACAUACCUGGGAAGAGAGCAGCAGUGCACAUCCUUGGUUUAGCCACUUCCUCCCUGCUGGACUAGCAGCCCCUUCAUCACCACAGCCAACCUCAGAGGAAAUUCCAAGUCUCAAAUCUAAAAUGGGAAGGACAGUCCUCUGGAAGUUGUGGGGUGGAGGAAAAGUGGACCUCCAACAAUGUGGUCAGCAGAGUCAGUUCCGGCAGCUCCUCUCCUGUGGCCAGAGGUGGUUCCAGCAUCCAGUUCUAGGGGCCAAAGGUCAAGUGUCAGAGGUCAGCGACAGUAGCUAUGUCUCUCCAAUGACCAGUGGCCCCCAAACUGCCCUCUCUCCCAGUGUCCUUCAUGGA